rnacentral:rRNA from 1 species
UACGUAGGGGGCAAGCGUUGUCCGGAAUCAUUGGGCGUAAAGCGCGCGUAGGCGGCCCGGUAAGUCCGUUGUGAAAGUCAAAGGCUCAACCUUUGAACGCCGAUGGAUACUGCCGGGCUAGAGUCCGGAAGAGGCGAGUGGAAUUCCUGGUGUAGCGGUGGAAUGCGCAGAUAUCAGGAGGAACACCGGUGGCGAAGGCGGCUCUCUGGGACGGUACUGACGCUGAGACGCGAAAGCGUGGGGAGCGAACAGG